rnacentral:rRNA from 1 species
GACGAACGCUGGCGGCGUGCUUAACACAUGCAAGUCGAACGGAAAGGCCCUGCUUUUGUGGGGUGCUCGAGUGGCGAACGGGUGAGUAACACGUGAGUAACCUGCCCUUAACUUUGGGAUAACUUCAGGAAACUGGGGCUAAUACCGGAUAGGAGCUCCUGCUGCAUGGUGGGGGUUGGAAAGUUUCGGCGGUUGGGGAUGGACUCGCGGCUUAUCAGCUUGUUGGUGGGGUAGUGGCUUACCAAGGCCUUGACGGGUAGCCGGCCUGAGAGGGUGACCGGCCACAUUGGGACUGAGAUACGGCCCAGACUCCUACGGGAGGCAGCAGUGGGGAAUAUUGCACAAUGGGCGGAAGCCUGAUGCAGCAACGCCGCGUGCGGGAUGACGGCCUUCGGGUUGUAAACCGCUUUCGCCUGUGACGAAGCGUGAGUGACGGUAAUGGGUAAAGAAGCACCGGCUAACUACGUG